rnacentral:lncRNA from 1 species
GGUGCAGCCUCUCCCACGUGCACCUGCGAGGCCUACCCUUUCUCCCGUCUCAGGGCCUUGAUGCCCGUGCCUGUGAAGCUGGCAUCAGCGAAGACCUCAGACGGGAAGGGAUGAGUGAGCAGGUUGAUGUCCAGUUUGCCAGAAUACCUCAGGCUUGCCGCCUCUAGUAUGAGUACGUGAGUUUCGAAUGGAAGCACUGUUAUGCCAGCAUCAAACACCCUGCAUUGACAGAAAUGUGAUUCCGGCAAGGUAAUAACUGCCACUCCCUGGGACUGUUUGACAUGACUCCAGGACCACAGGGAGUGCAUGAGGAAGCUGGCAGUCCACCUGCCACCCACUGUGAACCCAGACAGAGAGGCCAUCUGACCCACACAGCAAUUCUGGGGGACUGGGACCUGCGAGCAAGGUUCGAUUCCCAGCCCAUCCGUCCCUGUCUCUCUGACACACGGUCACCACGUGCAUUCUGCUGCCAGGCCCCGGAGCUGAAUCCUGUGAAAUCCUUGCUCCAGGGGCCACACAAUGUAACCGGGAGGCAGGAAUAUGACAGGAAAAGUUAACCCACAGGAUGGGAGGUCCCAGGCUGUGUGCACAGUGACAGGAGUGAUCACAAGAGUGCAUGGGGACUCACCCUGGCCAGAGACAGAGAGGCAUAUAGGAAGGUUCCCCAGGGGAGCCGAGACUCUGUCCAGACCUCAAAGAAUUCGGAGAGGAGAGUGAGAGUGAGCCCGUAUCUGGGAUAACUGAAAAAAAAAAAUGACUAGCUUAAAAAAAAAUCUCCAUGUGUGACACCUUACGUCACUAAAGCAAAGUGUGGAUUUGAGUUACUAGGUACUAACGAGAAUUUUGGAAAAUGGACACAGCCCUGCGUUUAAAGGAAUUGUCUUUUCUUGCUGGCUGAUACACUUGUAAACACACACACACACACACACCCCACCUGGCAUCUCCAUAUAACAUCCCAGGGUGCCGUUAGCCUUUCUGCCUCCUCCCUCAUCCCAUGUCUCCUAGAACUGCCAUGAAGCUGACGUGCAGCAUGUGCUCGCUGCUGGGCAUAGGUGGCCAGCCCAUGGCUCCUUCCUGUACCCGUUGCUGGCAGGUCCCGUGCCCCGGGGCAGCUCCUGCCACCAGUCCUCUCCUCUGCCCUCCCUCGCAUCUACUCCUUACGUGCAUCUGUCAAGGGGCGCUGAGCAGGUGUGUCUGUGCUUCACUCAGGUCUCGUUAGUGGUUGUCAGUAAGCUCUGAAUUCUUCCAUAGAACCCUUAAAUCCUUCCUCAAUCCCCACAGCCCACGAGCAAGCCUCCUAAAUCCAAUCAAUUAACACAGCCCAGAAAGUGGAUCCAUUUGCAGGAAAGCUAUAAGCUUGCACCUAAUCGUCCUUCCCUAGGGGACCGGUUAGAGCAACUGUAGGACGGCAGGAAGGAGCCCUCUAUGGACCUGAAAACAUCAAGGAGAACGGUACAUGUUGAUUGGAAAUAUGUCCGUGACAUAUAUUGCUAAGUUUAAAAAACUUAGGCUCCAAAGCAGCAGAUGAGUAUGAUUGCAGUAGCUUUUGAAACGGUCGUGUUGGGUGAGUGUUUAUACAGAGAUGUCUGGGGCAGGAGAGAGAGGCCUGGGGGCCACCAAAUAUUCCCAGCAGUUGCUGACAGUGAGACACCAGGAGGGUUCAAUUUUAAAAACUGUCUUCUUUAUUUAAAAAACAUUUUUUUUCAGUGGUUGAAUUUUUGACAUGGGUAUGCAUUGUCUUCAUAAGAAGGAAAAGGAAAAAAAAAAAAAAAAAAGAAAACCAGCUAGGUGAUUUAUAAGCUUCCAUGGAGCAUUUUUGGUAAAUGAGAAGUGCUGGGUUUUCCAGGUAAAUGGAAUAUGCAAACCAUGGGUGCCGGGGCUGGGAGGAAGUGACAAGAGGGGACACUGCUUAGUUGCGUAGGGUUUCCUUUUGGGGUGAUGAAAUGUUAGGGAACUAGAGAGGGCUGAUGCGCGUUGUGAUUGCACCGAACGUUCUGCAUUUACUAAAUGCCCCCGAAUUGGACACUUGGAGACGGUUAAUUUCCUGUUAUGUGAAUUUUACCUCAAUAAAAAGUGCCAGAUUCUCUAGUAAAACAAGUCACCUACUUAGCUGCCCAGGAGGAGAGAUCA